AUGUAUGGGACACGAGACUGUUUAGGCUAACUUUCUUUUGUGGACCUCAUGAGCUUGGUUGAUUAGACUUAUGGGAUCUGCCUAAUAGCAAUCUCAAACCUUGAGCUUGCUCUAGCUUCCCUCACUUCUUCUUAUUGUUAUGCCUCCUCUCCUCUUCUUUUCCUUUCUUAAGGCUAACGUCAACCUUCCCUUACUAAUGUGGAUUCGAAACCGUCGCCUUCCCCAGUAGUCCCUUUUUGGCUGUGUCCUCUUCUAUUCCUAUUCAACUAGGAAUUUCUUAUAUUUCUUAUAGUAAGAACAUAAAACAGUUGACACAAAAGUAACCUAAUGUUACACUCAUGAUCCUUUCUUGAGCAUCCUUUGGGUCUUGAGUUAUGGGAUCAUCUACUUGACCUUCAGUUGCGGUUAUCUUAGUUGUAAAUUUAGACUCAAUAGCCUAAGUUGCAUUAUUAUCGGCUCUCUCAGUUGCAAUAAAAAAUUGGCCACUGACCUUCCCCAAACAGUGAAAUUGCUUUCAUCCGCACAAUGGUAGCAUGUUGCAAUGCGAAACCUCGAUAACUUCACAGUAUUCUCAGUAUAGAAAUUGUCGAGGUGGCGAAAUCAUGUGGGAUAACUGUAAUACCAUAGAUUCAAAGGCACGCGCAACAGCUACACAUUAUAUAGAGAAAAGUUGCAAAGAUGGAGACUGCCUUGCACUAUUUUGCCGAGCAUGUAAUCCAUAAUUUUAGUUGUUACCUCUUCACAACUCUAGUCAGUU
rnacentral:lncRNA from 1 species